AUGAAGACAUCCAUUCAAGCUGCAUUCAUGUUCUUGUGGCUGCAGCUAGACUGGAUGAGCCAAGGAGGCAACGUGGAUCAGCAUCCUUCUACUCUAAGUGUGCAGGAAGGAGACAGCUCUGUUAUCAACUGUACUUAUUCUGACAGUUUGUCAGACUAUUUCCCAUGGUAUAAACAAGAACCUGGUCAGGGUCUCCAGCUCAUCAUAGACAUUCGCUCAAAUCUGGAGAAAAAGCAAGACCAAAGGCUCACUGUUUCACUGAAUAAGGUGGCCAAACACAUCUCCCUGCACAUUGCAGCCACCCAGCCUGGAGACUCUGCUGUCUACUUCUGUGUUGCAAAUUUAGUUGUUACGAAAUGA